CCAAAAUCCAAACGUUUUUUGAAUAAAUAAUUUAUUUUAAAGUUAUUUCCUAGAGGUUUGGUUUGGCCUUCUAUAUUCUGGUAUUUGUCUACUAAUAAAUAAUAUCUUAUUUUGUAUUUCGAUGUAUGGAAAUCCGCAAGUUUUGUAUCUGAAGCCGCAAAGAAAUUUCGUUCUAUAAUGUUCUAAAUGUGAGUGCUUAAUGUCAAAAAUUAAAAUAUAUACUUGAAAUAUUUCAAGUUAUACCCUUUGCCCUUUGAAGUAAACAAAUAUUGAAGAAAGUGUUGUGCCUUCACAGAAUUUAAAUUGGCAUUAGGAAUAGAUUUCCUUGAUUUAGUAAUGAUAUUGCUCAUAGAAAUUGAUAAUAUACUAUUUUAUAUUCACUCGUUCAAGUGCUGAUCUAUUUUUAAAUUGAAUAUUUAUGUAAGUAUUAUGUAUAACACGAUAUAAAUAAUUUAAGGACAUAAGAAAUUAAAAUUUCAAGUGCCAAUAUUGAUUAUUUUUCCAGUUUUAUUCAAAUAUAUUGAAAUUAAUAUGGAAACAAAAGUUCAUAAAUAUUAGUUUGAAAAGCCAUGUCAGAAGAGUAGGAUUAAAGACAAAGUAUUAAGAGUAAUUGGGCUGUUCCUGAACAAUAUUGAAUAUAAAUAUUCAAAAAUAUGAUAAACUGCAUAUCCUACUAAGUAGAUCAAUACCAAAAUUCCAUUAGAGAAAUAAGUUAAAAUUAUGUUUUACUUGUAUAAUUUUCUUGCUAUUUGUCCACCAUUAUUUGUGACUUAGAAAUUAAAUAGUCAAAAAGAA